AGCGAACGCUGGCGGCAGGCCUAACACAUGCAAGUCGAGCGGCCGUAGCAAUACGGCAGCGGCAGACGGGAGAGUAACACGUGGGAACGCGCCCUUCGGUCUGGAAUAACCCAGGGAAACUUGGGCUAAUACCGGAUACGCCCUUACGGGGAAAGAUUUAUUGCCGAAGGAACGGCCCGCGUCCGAUUAGCUAGUUGGUGAGGUAACGGCUAACCAAGGCGACGAUCGGUAGCUGGUCUGAGAGGAUGACCAGCCUCACUGGGACUGAGACACGGCCCAGACUCCUACGGGAGGCAGCAGUGGGGAAUAUUGGACAAUGGGCGCAAGCCUGAUCCAGCCAUGCCGCGUGGGUGAUGUAGGCCCUAGGGUUGUAAAGCCCUUUCAGCGGGGAAGAUAAUGACGGUACCCGCAGAAGAAGCCCCGGCUAACUUCGUGCCAGCCGCCGCCGUAACAC
rnacentral:rRNA from 1 species